rnacentral:misc_RNA from 1 species
GAUGAAGAACGCAGCGAAAUGCGAUAAGUAAUGCGAAUUGCAGAUUUCAGUGAGUCAUCGAAUCUUUGAACGCACAUUGCGCCCGCCGGCAUUCCGGCGGGCAUGCCUGUUCGAGCGUCAUUUGUACCCUCAAGCUUUGCUUGGUGUUGGGUGUUUGUCCCGCGUUGCGCGUGGACUCGCCUUAAAGCGAUUGGCAGCCGGCAUAUUGGCCUUGGAGCGCAGCACAUUUUGCGCUUCUAGUCAUGAAUGUUGGCGUCCAUUAAGCCUAUACAUUUGCUCUUGACCUCGGAUCAGGUAGGGAUACCCGCUGAACUUAAGCAUAUCAAUAAGCGGAGGA